GGGGGCAGCACAGAGCUGCAGAUUCCUUGUUCAGUUGUUUGUGUUUUGCAGAUAUUUUCAGCUGCGUCAAAACGCUCCAGAGAAGCUUCUUCAUCACGGUUCAUCCGGUUUGACAGACAUAAUGAACAUCGCUGGCCUGACCGCCAUGUUCUUCGAGGCAGUGAGCCUCAUCUUGGGGAUCUUUAGGCCCGACACUGAUCCGUGCGUCUACAAGAACACCCUGGAGAGCUACAAUGACUUUCUCCGAAAACAUGUUCUUCAGAAGGAUUUCGAUAGAAAUUCUCUUCCAGCAUGGGAAAGGUAUUUGAGGGAGCAGAAUCUGUGGUGCCAAUUCCCCGUCCAGUCCUUCUUGGAGCCCAGCCAGAAUGUGGAGGGCAUCUGCACCAAUGGCUUUCGGGUGAACAAGGGAAGAAAAAACCUGUGUAUCAGCGGGUCGAAUAAAACCGUUUAUGAUGUGAAAACAACGAAUACCAACACCGGCUGCACGAUUCAAGUUCAGAGAAGACAGAAACCUGUGAUUGUGGCGUGUGACAAGGUAAAGGUUGAAAACCGCUGUCUUCCUGUUCACUAUGAGAGAUACACAGACCAACAGGCGACAUCGGAUCUCUGCCAAUAGCGACGAGAUUCAUAACUUCACUGAGUUCACUUCAGUUCACUCUGAAAAAGAAAGGCAUUAAUGUCAACUUUAUUCUCAUCAAAUACUUUACUCUGUGAAGUGUUACUUCACGCUCUUUUGCUCAGUAAUUGUUUUGUCUUUGUGAUUUAUAAUGAAAAUUAAAUCUUAAACAAAUUAAUCUUCUUCAUUAACACUGCAGAAUGCUUCACUUUCAAAUAAGGAUGGACCGAUAUCGAUACCAGUAUCAGGUCUGAUGCUGCAGCUGCCCUCAUACUUAUAAACCAUCCCCAGUACAACCCGACUAAAACUUUCUAACGUCUCGCUGUGUCAUUCAUUGUUGACAUCAGACUGUGAAUAAAGUCAAUAUUUGAAAACUGA